rnacentral:tRNA from 1 species
CGGGAAGUGGCGCAGCUUGGUAGCGCAUCUGUUUUGGGAACAGAGGGCCGCAGGUUCAAAUCCUGUCUUCCCGA